CACUUCUGUCAAAAAGGCAUAAAUUAAUGCUUUGCAGCCUUUUCCUACCCUUAAAUUUUGUAUCUUUGGUGUAGGAAUUGCAUAAGGAACAGCA
rnacentral:snoRNA from 1 species